UACGAAGGGGGCUAGCGUUGCUCGGAAUCACUGGGCGUAAAGCGCACGUAGGCGGACUCUUAAGUCGGGGGUGAAAUCCUGGAGCUCAACUCCAGAACUGCCUUCGAUACUGGGAGUCUCGAGUUCGGGAGAGGCGAGUGGAAUUCCUGGUGUAGCGGUGGAAUGCGUAGAUAUCGUGAGGAAGACCAGUGGCGAAGGCGGGUCUCUGGACAGUUCCGUGACACUGAGGCACGAAGGCCAGGGGAGCAAACGGG
rnacentral:rRNA from 1 species